GACGAACGCUGGCGGCGUGCCUAAUACAUGCAAGUCGAGCGCAGGAAACUGACGGAACUCUUCGGAGGGAAGGCAGCGGAAUGAGCGGCGGACGGGUGAGUAACACGUAAGGAACCUGCCUCAAGGAUUGGGAUAACUCCGAGAAAUCGGAGCCAAUACCGGAUAGUUCAUCGGACCGCAUGGUCCGUUGAUGAAAGGCGCUCCGGCGUCACCUUGAGAUGGCCUUGCGGUGCAUUAGCUAGUUGGUGGGGUAACGGCCCACCAAGGCGACGAUGCAUAGCCGACCUGGGAGGGUGAUCGGCCACACUGGGACUGAGACACGGCCCAGACUCCUACGGGAGGCAGCAGUAGGGAAUCUUCCACAAUGGACGAAAGUCUGAUGGAGCAACGCCGCGUGAGUGAUGAAGGUUUUCGGAUCGUAAAACUCUGUUGUAAGGGAAGAACACGUACGAGAGGGAAUGCUCGUACCUUGACGGUACCUUACGAGAAAGCCACGGCUAACUACGUGCCAGCCGCCGCGGUAAGAC
rnacentral:rRNA from 1 species